rnacentral:rRNA from 1 species
GAUGAACGCUGGCGGCGUGCCUAAUACAUGCAAGUCGAGCGAACAGACGAUGAUCUUGCUCCUCUGACGUUAGCGGCGGACGUGUGAGUAACACGUGUAUAACCUACCUAUAAUUCUGGUAUCACUUCGGGAAACCGGAUCUAAUACCGUAUAAUAUAUUGAACCGCAUUGUUCAAUAGUUAAAUACGGUUUUUCUGUCUCUUAUAGAUGGUUCCGGGCCGCAUUAGCUAGUUGUUAAGGUAACGGCUUACCAAGGCGACGAUGCGUAGCCGACCUGAGAGGGGGAUAGGCGACAGUGGAACGGAGACACGGACAAGAGUACUACGGGAGGGAGCAGUAGGGAAUCGGAGGCAAUGGGCGAAAGAAUGACGGAGCAAGGGCGAGUGAGUGAUGAAGGUCUGCGGAUCGUAAAACUGUGUUAUGAGGGAAGAACAAAUGUGGAAGGAAAUAUGGAGGUAUUGACGGUAACUAAUAAGAAAGCAACGGCUAACUACGUG